GCCACAACACGGACUGACCUUCCGUCCCGCCCUCGUGGAUGUGGGGGAAGGAAUGGAAGAUGGCGUAACUAGAGAACACUGCACCAGCGGUUUACAGGAAACAGAAUGAUAAAGGAAAAAGUCACAUCCCAAGAAAGCAAGUCCCAAAUCCAGGAGAGUAAACAUGACAUGGCACAAGGCUCUGAUUUAUCCAACAAAUCAAUCAACAAGUCAAGGAGAGGAAUGCUGUGUAAAAUAUUAGAGUAAGAAAAUGGGUGUCUUCAACAUACUACAAGAAGAAGACAACAACAUAUCCCACAGCUCACCAUCCUGCAUAGACUCUGUGUGCUCCCCCACCCUGGAAACACACAUUCAGCUCUUAGAUACAAGUUGACUGCAAGACUCUAUAUAUGGAAGUACUUUGGAAUCUAUGAAAUGUUCUACAGAUGAAAGGUUAUCCUGUUGAAAAACCUGAUGUGUUUCUUCUGCCAUAAACGAGUUCCAGAGACAUUCUUUGAGGAGGGAAGAAAACAACUAAGUAGAUACCAGUUUUCUUUUUUAAUUUUUUUUUUAAACUGCCAGAACCACAGUAACCAUAAAUAAUCAACCUUUUAUGACCAAGCUUCUGUAACUGCCAGGGGAUCAUUAUCUUCUGAAAAAAGUCUCUAAUCUGUAAGCUGAGGGCACAUGACCAUUUGUGAUUCUGUGUGGUAUCCAUCAGUACCCAUCACCAAGAUAACAGCUUAAUCUUGAAUGGAGGAGGCAAGGAUAUUUUUGAGGAAGCACUGUUAAACAUUUCCCUUUAAAAAACUGAAAAGAACUAGAGAGACAGCAUGGCAGGUUGAGAGUGUGCUUUGCCUGUGGGAGGCCUGAUUUGAUUCCUGGUACUGCUUGAUUUGAUUCCUGAUUUGAUUCCUGGUCUACCAAGCACUUCUGGGAGUAACCCCAAAGCACAGAGCCCGACUUAGUCCCCCCAAACCACCAGAUGUGUGCAAAAACUCU